GAUGAACGCUGGCGGCGUGCCUAAUACAUGCAAGUCGAGCGAACAGACGAGGAGCUUGCUCCUCUGACGUUAGCGGCGGACGGGUGAGUAACACGUGGAUACCCUACCUAUAAGACUGGGAUAACUUCGGGAAACCGGAGCUAAUACCGGAUAAUAUAUUGAACCGCAUGGUUCAAUAGUGAAAGACGGUUUUGCUGUCACUUCUAGAUGGAUCCGCGCCGCAUUGGCUCGUUGGUAAGGUAACGGCUUACCAAGGCAACGAUGCGUAGCCGACCUGAGAGGGUGAUAGGCCACACUGGAGCGGGAACGCGGUCCAGACGCCUACGGGAGGCAGCAGUAGGGAAUCUUCCGCAAUGGGCGAAAGCCUGACGGAGCGACGCCGCGUGAGUGAUGAAGGUCUUCGGAGCGUAAAGCUCUGUUAUUAGGGAAGAACAAAUGUGUAAGUAACUAUGCACGUCUUGACGGUACCUAAUCAGAAAGCCACGGCUAACUACGUG
rnacentral:rRNA from 1 species